rfam:Schistosoma mansoni strain Puerto Rico chromosome 4, complete genome
AUCCAGGUGACGAGUCCCAAAUAGGACGAAACGCGCAUCCUGGAU